UAGCACGAGCCGGGAAAGAGAAGACCGGUACAAGCGGGGUAGGAGUAAGGACAGCAAAUCUUCCUUACAAUCCGAAGACGUAAUGUGGACCGAACCAAAGUAGGGAAGCGUGUGAGCCAUGUGCCAAGAAAAGCCGCUAUAGUGAUACACAUACCCGUACCGUAAACCGACACAGGUGGAUGAGGAGAGAAUCCUAAGGCCGACGGAAGAAGCAUUGUUAAGGAACUCGGCAAAAUGACCCCGUAACUUCGGGAGAAGGGGUGCCCUGUGAAAGCAGGGCCGCAGAGAAUAGGCUCAAGCAACUGUUUAGCAAAAACACAGGUCUAUGCGAAACCGAAAGGUGAGGUAUAUGGGCUGACGCCUGCCCGGUGCUGGAAGGUUAAGAGGAGAAGUCAGGCAACGAAGCUUCGAAUUUAAGCCCCAGUAAACGGCGGCCGUAACUAUAACGGUCCUAAGGUAGCGAAAUUCCUUGUCGGGUAAGUUCCGACCCGCACGAAAGGCGUAAUGAUUUGAGCACUGUCUCGACAAUGCAUCCGGUGAAAUUGAAGUACCAGUGAAGAUGCUGGUUACCUGCGCCAGGACGGAAAGACCCCAUGGAGCUUUACUCCAGCUUGAUACUGGGAUUCGAUACUGUAUGUACAGGAUAGGUGGGAGACGUUGAGCAUAGAACGCCAGUUUUAUGUGAGUCGCUGUUGGGAUACCACCCUUGCAGUAUUGGAUUUCUAACCUGCACCCAUGACCUGGGUGGGGGACAAUGUCUGGCGGGGAGUUUGACUGGGGCGGUCGCCUCCGAAAGGGUAUCGGAGGCGCUCAAAGGUUCCCUCAGAAUGGUUGGAAACCAUUCGAAGAGUGCAAAGGCAGAAGGGAGCUUGACUGUGACACCGACGGGUGGAACAGGUACGAAAGUAGGACUUAGUGAUCCGGUGGUAUAAAGUGGGAUUGCCAUCGCUCAACGGAUAAAAGCUACCCUGGAUAACAGGCUUAUCACUCCCAAGAGUUCACAUCGACGGAGUGGUUUGGCACCUCGAUGUCGGCUCAUCGCAUCCUGGGGCUGUAGCAGGUCCCAAGGGUUGGGCUGUUCGCCCAUUAAAGCGGUACGCGAGCUGGGUUCAGAACGUCGUGAGACAGUUCGGUCCCUAUCCGGCGCAGGCAGAGGAUAUUUGAGAGGAGCUGUCCUUAGUACGAGAGGACCGGGAUGGACGGACCACUGGUGUAUCUGUUGGCUAUCAGAGCCAUGGCAGAGUAGCCAAGUCCGGCAGGGAUAAACGCUGAAGGCAUCUAAGCGUGAAGCCCCCCUCAAGAUGAGAUAUCCCUCAGAAAUGAGUAAGACCCCUUGAAGACUACGAGGUAGAUAGGAAUGAGGUGUAAGCACAGCAAUGUGUUCAGCUGACAUUAACUAAUCGGUCGAGGGCUUGACAUA
rnacentral:rRNA from 1 species